AAAGAUUCAUCGCUGAUAGAUAGGCAUGCGUUCCAUUAGGCAGUUGGCGGGGUAACGGCCCACCAAACCGACGAUGGAUAGGGGUUCUGAGAGGAAGGUCCCCCACAUUGGUACUGAGACACGGACCAAACUCCUACGGGAGGCAGCAGUGAGGAAUAUUGGUCAAUGGGCGUAAGCCUGAACCAGCCAAGUCGCGUGAGGGAUGAAGGUUCUAUGGAUCGUAAACCUCUUUUAUAAGGGAAUAAAGUGUGGGACGUGUCCUAUUUUGUAUGUACCUUAUGAAUAAGGAUCGGCUAACUCCGUGCCAGCAGCCGCGGUAAUACGGAGGAUCCGAGCGUUAUCCGGAUUUAUUGGGUUUAAAGGGUGCGUAGGCGGCCUUUUAAGUCAGCGGUGAAAGUCUGUGGCUCAACCAUAGAAUUGCCGUUGAAACUGGGGGGCCUGAGUAUGUUUGAGGCAGGCGGAAUGCGUGGUGUAGCGGUGAAAUGCUUAGAUAUCACGCAGAACCCCGAUUGCGAAGGCAGCCUGCCAAGCCAUGACUGACGCUGAUGCACGAAAGCGUGGGGAUCAAACAGGAUUAGAUACCCUGGUAGUCCACGCAGUAA
rnacentral:rRNA from 1 species